ACGAACGCUGGCGGCGUGCCUAAUACAUGCAAGUAGAACGCUGAAGAGAGGAGCUUGCUCUUCUUGGAUGAGUUGCGAACGGGUGAGUAACGCGUAGGUAACCUGCCUUGUAGCGGGGGAUAACUAUUGGAAACGAUAGCUAAUACCGCAUAACAAUGGAUGACACAUGUCAUUUAUUUGAAAGGGGCAAUUGUUCCACUACAAGAUGGACCUGCGUUGUAUUAGCUAGUAGGUGAGGUAAUGGCUCACCUAGGCGACGAUACAUAGCCGACCUGAGAGGGUGAUCGGCCACACUGGGACUGAGACACGGCCCAGACUCCUACGGGAGGCAGCAGUAGGGAAUCUUCGGCAAUGGGGGCAACCCUGACCGAGCAACGCCGCGUGAGUGAAGAAGGUUUUCGGAUCGUAAAGCUCUGUUGUAAGUCAAGAACGGGUGUGAGAGUGGAAAGUUCACACUGUGACGGUAGCUUACCAGAAAGGGACGGCUAACUACGUGCCAGCAGCCGCGGUAAUACGUAGGUCCCGAGCGUUGUCCGGAUUUAUUGGGCGUAAAGCGAGCGCAGGCGGUUUGAUAAGUCUGAAGUUAAAGGCUGUGGCUCAACCAUAGUUCGCUUUGGAAACUGUCAAACUUGAGUGCAGAAGGGGAGAGUGGAAUUCCAUGUGUAGCGGUGAAAUGCGUAGAUAUAUGGAGGAACACCGGUGGCGAAAGCGGCUCUCUGGUCUGUAACUGACGCUGAGGCUCGAAAGCGUGGGGAGCGAACAGGAUUAGAUACCCUGGUAGUCCACGCCGUAAACGAUGAGUGCUAGGUGUUGGAUCCUUUCCGGGAUUCAGUGCCGCAGCUAACGCAUUAAGCACUCCGCCUGGGGAGUACGACCGCAAGGUUGAAACUCAAAGGAAUUGACGGGGGCCCGCACAAGCGGUGGAGCAUGUGGUUUAAUUCGAAGCAACGCGAAGAACCUUACCAAGUCUUGACAUCCUGCGACGCACAUAGAAAUAUGUGUUUCCUUCGGGACGCAGAGACAGGUGGUGCAUGGUUGUCGUCAGCUCGUGUCGUGAGAUGUUGGGUUAAGUCCCGCAACGAGCGCAACCCCUAUUGUUAGUUGCCAUCAUUCAGUUGGGCACUCUAGCGAGACUGCCGGUAAUAAACCGGAGGAAGGUGGGGAUGACGUCAAAUCAUCAUGCCCCUUAUGACCUGGGCUACACACGUGCUACAAUGGUUGGUACAACGAGUUGCGAGUCGGUGACGGCGAGCUAAUCUCUUAAAGCCAAUCUCAGUUCGGAUUGUAGGCUGCAACUCGCCUACAUGAAGUCGGAAUCGCUAGUAAUCGCGGAUCAGCACGCCGCGGUGAAUACGUUCCCGGGCCUUGUACACACCGCCCGUCACACCACGAGAGUUUGUAACACCCGAAGUCGGUGAGGUAACCUUUUGGAGCCAGCCGCCUAAGGUGGGACAGAUGAUUGGGGUG
rnacentral:rRNA from 1 species